GACGAACGCUGGCGGCGUGCUUAACACAUGCAAGUCGAACGGAAAGGCCCUGCUUUUGUGGGGUGCUCGAGUGGCGAACGGGUGAGUAACACGUGAGUAACCUGCCCUUGACUUUGGGAUAACUUCAGGAAACUGGGGCUAAUACCGGAUAGGAGCUCCUGCUGCAUGGUGGGGGUUGGAAAGUUUCGGCGGUUGGGGAUGGACUCGCGGCUUAUCAGCUUGUUGGUGGGGUAGUGGCUUACCAAGGCUUUGACGGGUAGCCGGCCUGAGAGGGUGACCGGCACCAUUGGAAUUAGGUUACGGCCCGGACUCCUCCGGGAGGCAGCGGUGGGAAUUAUUGCCCAAUGGCCGAAAGCCUGAUGCAGCACCGCCGCGUGCGGAUGACGGCCUUCGGGUUGUAAACCGCUUUCGCCUGUGACGAAGCGUGAGUGACGGUAAUGGGUAAAGAAGCACCGGCUAACUACGUG
rnacentral:rRNA from 1 species